rnacentral:rRNA from 1 species
GCUGGCGGCAGGCCUAAAACAUGCAAGUCGAACGCCGUAGCAAUACGGAGUGGCAGACGGGUGAGUAACACGUGGGAACGUGCCUUUUGGUUCGGAACAACCCAGGGAAACUUGGGCUAAUACCGGAUAAGCCCUUCGGGGGAAAGAUUUAUCGCCAGAAGAUCGGCCCGCGUCUGAUUAGCUAGUUGGUGGGGUAACGGCCCACCAAGGCUACGAUCAGUAGCUGGUCUGAGAGGAUGAUCAGCCACACUGGGACUGAGACACGGCCCAGACUCCUACGGGAGGCAGCAGUUAGGAAUCUUGGACAAUGGGCGCAAGCCUGAUCCAGCCAUGCCGCGUGAGUGAUGAAGGCCUUAGGGUUGUAAAGCUCUUUCAGCGGGGAAGAUAAUGACGGUACCCGCAGAAGAAGCCCCGGCUAACUUCGUGCCAGCAGCCGCGGUAAUACGAAGGGGGCUAGCGUUGCUCGGAAUCACUGGGCGUAAAGCGCACGUAGGCGGCUUUCUAAGUCAGGGGUGAAAUCCUGGAGCUCAACUCCAGAACUGCCUUUGAUACUG